UACAAAGAUCUGGGGGCCCCGGGAGGCUGGCUGGCCGGGACUGCGGCUGCCCCAUGUGCACUCUGGCCCUGUCCACUGAAAGAGAUAUGUGUAGCAGCACCCUGUCCUCCACUCACUCCAUGCCAGCAGUGUCACCCCAGCUGUGACAACCAAAAAUGUCUCCAGACAUGGCCAGAUGUCACCUAGGGGCACACUCACCCCUAGCUGAGAACCAGUGCUCUAAAGGUAAUCCCAUCCCUUGCCAAUUAGUGUGGUUCAGGAAUAGGAAGGUGACCCAAUCCUGGCCAGGGAAUCACGAGGAAAGGCCUGCUAGUAAGUUCUUAGGGUGUUCUCACGGGUUUAAAGAGCUCAGGGGAGCAGGCUCUCACCCUCCUACUGAAUGUGGACAAGGAAGCACAUUGCCCUGAUGGCCAUUGGCAGCCAUCUUGUGACCAUGAGGAAAAAACCACAGCUACUGCUGUGGACAGAGGAAGCCCAACCGUGAUGUCAUUGUUGAGAGCUGAAUCAGCCAACCCCGAAGAUGGCCUAGACUUCAAGUCAUUUCUUAAUCUGCGUCCUUAUUGUGUAAGCCAGUCCGAGCAGCAGCUGUUACUUGUGCCCAUGGCAUCCAAUGCCCUGUGAGUCUUCCUGACAAAGCCGAUUGUACCAAAUCUUACAGGCUGGGCUGUUUCUUCCUCAAAUCUUAAAGCCGCAACCUCAUGCUAUACAGCUGGUUAUAAGACUAAGCUAGAUAAAGCACCCUGAGAAAACAGCCCCCUCUGGAUCUCUGCAUGCCGCCCCCACUUUAUUAAGUCUAUUGGUCUUGCCCAGUUGGCCCCAAAGAAUAGUCUGUGCCACUUUUUACGUGAACAUCGAUCCACCUCUCCAAAUUAGAGCCCCAGAGUUUGCUAGGUGGUUCCACUUAGGAUGUAUACUGCCUUCCUCCUGCGUCACACCUGGCUUCUCAGACCACAGCUCUAUGUGAGAGGAGCUCCAGCUAUUCCAGGGCCGACGGCCCCCGCUCCCCACUCAUCCGGUGCAGGAAGGAAGAGAGCAACCUAAGCAUCCCUGGGCAGACUCCAUACGGAGAGAGCUGGCACCAUAAUGGUCCCUGGGAAUGAGGCACUGUGAAGAGCAUGACUGCUUGUGUUACACUCUUUGCCUUGGCUGCUGGGAACCUCAGAGCUCCCCUCUGCAUGUCCAUCAGCCCUCCCAUGGUGUACUUGGAGUUGUGACUUCACCUAGCUCUCCCUUAUCUUUCCAGCUGCCAUUUUUUCCCUUUUAUUACUUUCUUUCCCAUCCACUUAUUUUAAAUGUUAUGUCAUGGUAAUGAGGUAAAGCGUCACCUCCUAUGUGUUGUGAUCUUGCCCGAGUUACCUAACUUUCCUGUCCUUCAGUUUCUGCAUCUGUAAAACGGGGAUAACAGAGCUAACCUCACUUUGAGGAUCACGUGAGUUAAUAAAGGCCUGGCACACAGUUAGCACUCAAUAAAUGUUAGUUAUGAUUUUUAUUA